CCUACGGGAGGCAGCAGUGGGGAAUAUUGGACAAUGGGCGAAAGCCUGAUCCAGCCACGCCGCGUGUGUGAAGAAGGCCUUCGGGUUGUAAAGCACUUUCAGUGGGGAAGAAAGCCUUGGGGCUAAUACCCUCGAGGAAGGACAUCACCCACAGAAGAAGCACCGGCUAACUCCGUGCCAGCAGCCGCGGUAAUACGGAGGGUGCGAGCGUUAAUCGGAAUUACUGGGCGUAAAGCGCGCGUAGGCGGUCUGAUAAGCCGGUUGUGAAAGCCCCGGGCUCAACCUGGGAACGGCAUCCGGAACUGUCAGGCUAGAGUGCAGGAGAGGAAGGUAGAAUUCCCGGUGUAGCAGUGAAAUGCGUAGAGAUCGGGAGGAAUACCAGUGGCGAAGGCGGCCUUCUGGACUGACACUGACGCUGAGGUGCGAAAGCGUGGGUAGCAAACAGGAUUAGAUACCCCAGUAGUC
rnacentral:rRNA from 1 species